rnacentral:rRNA from 1 species
AUUGAACGCUGGCGGCAGGCCUAACACAUGCAAGUCGAGCGGAUGAAGGGAGCUUGCUCCUGGAUUCAGCGGCGGACGGGUGAGUAAUGCCUAGGAAUCUGCCUGGUAGUGGGGGAUAACGUCCGGAAACGGGCGCUAAUACCGCAUACGUCCUGAUGGAGAAAGUGGGGGAUCUUCGGACCGCACGCUAUCAGAUGAGCCUAGGUCGGAUUAGCUAGUUGGUGGGGUAAAGGCCUACCAAGGCGACGAUCCGUAACUGGUCUGAGAGGAUGAUCAGUCACACUGGAACUGAGACACGGUCCAGACUCCUACGGGAGGCAGCAGUGGGGAAUAUUGGACAAUGGGCGAAAGCCUGAUCCAGCCAUGCCGCGUGUGUGAAGAAGGUCUUCGGAUUGUAAAGCACUUUAAGUUGGGAGGAAGGGCAGUAAGUUAAUACCUUGCUGUUUUGACGUUACCAACAGAAUAAGCACCGGCUAACUUCGUG